rnacentral:rRNA from 1 species
AGAGUUUGAUCAUGGCUCAGAUUGAACGCUGGCGGCAGGCCUAACACAUGCAAGUCGAGCGGUAACAGGCCCUUCGGGGCGCUGACGAGCGGCGGACGGGUGAGUACUGCAUAGGAAUCUACCCGGUAGUGGGGGAUAACCUGGGGAAACUCAGGCUAAUACCGCAUACGUCCUACGGGAGAAAGCAGGGGCCUUUUGGCCUUGCGCUAUCGGAUGAGCCUAUGCCGGAUUAGCUGGUUGGUGAGGUAAUGGCUCACCAAGGCGACGAUCCGUAGCUGGUCUGAGAGGAUGAUCAGCCACAUCGGGACUGAGACACGGCCCGAACUCCUACGGGAGGCAGCAGUGGGGAAUAUUGGACAAUGGGGGCAACCCUGAUCCAGCCAUGCCGCGUGUGUGAAGAAGGCCUUCGGGUUGUAAAGCACUUUCAGCGAGGAAGAACGCCUGGCGGUUAAUACCCGCCAGGAAAGACAUCACUCGCAGAAGAAGCACCGGCUAACUCCGUGCCAGCAGCCGCGGUAAUACGGAGGGUGCGAGCGUUAAUCGGAAUUACUGGGCGUAAAGCGCGCGUAGGCGGCGUGAUAAGCCGGUUGUGAAAGCCCUGGGCUCAACCUGGGAACUGCAUCCGGAACUGUCAGGCUAGAGUGCAGGAGAGGAAGGUAGAAUUCCCGGUGUAGCGGUGAAAUGCGUAGAGAUCGGG